UUUUUUUAUUUUUUUUUAAAGCCCGUCCAAAUCGGGACUAAACUACGGAACCCGGAGAGGAGCGGGGGGAGACGACGACGAGCGGGGCUGUCCCGAGCCGGUCGGGGCAGUUCAGUUAGCAGGAUGGGGCGGCGGCCGGUGCGGCGGUUACCAUAGCAACGGUCAGCACUUUGGGGAUCCAGAGGCCUUGAGCUGGGACUGGGCCACAUCCUAUAGUGACAUAUAGAAGGAGGAGGAGGAGGAGGAGGAGGGGAGGGGGGUGACCCUGGGAUCAUGACCAUCCCGGGAACAACUCCACAUACAGCACCCCAACUCUGGCAGGUAAAACCCGCAAUGGCAGCAAUUUCUCUACUUCUUCCUCUUAAUGACAGCCAAACAGAUUGUAAGCUCUUGGGGCUAACUAUUGAUUUACACCUAUCUGUAUAAUGUGAGGGUGGCUGAGAGGUCAUCACCCUAGCUGUGACAGGACUAUCACUCCCAUCAUGCUCUGUCAGGCUGCUUGAAAGGAUUACAGCUGUGGUGGACUAAUAACACCCACAGUGCAUGCUGGGAAGUUUAGUUCCUCACAGCUGGAGGGCCAAAGUUCAGCCAGUCAUUGGCCAAUAGGCUGGUGUAGGGUAUGAAUGUGGAAAUUAUUUAAUUUUAAAUAAAGUGGUUUUGUUUUUUAAAUUCAGUAUCCUGUUAACUUGGGUCAUGUCUGAGGCCCAGAUAAACAAGAAAGGAUACAAAAUUAAAAUAGCAAACAAAAAAAGGUGAAGGAUCAAAUGAUUUGUGUAUGUGUAUCAGGUCUCCUUUUUAUUUUAUUUUGUAUGUUUAUAAUAGUUAUUCAUUUAAAUGGGAAUUAGAACAUGUUAAGCCAAAAUAGUUGUCAGAAAACUUUUUUUUAUUUUAUAUAUAUAUAUAUAUAUAUAUAUAUAUAUAUAUAUAUAUAUAUAUAUAUUUUUUUUUUAUUCAGCUAAAAAAUUAAUAUUCCUGGUUUACCGAAUAACUGUAGGCUACAAUCAAAUUAUGAAACUAAGGCUAAAAUGGCCAAACGAUAAUCACAUAGUUUUAUUAUUAUUAUUUAUUUAUUUAUUUAUAUAUAUAUACAUAUAAUUUUUUUUUUAUUUUUUUUUCUAUUUUUGAAAUUUUAUUUUCAAAUAAUUAUGUUGUUUAGUGAAUAGACCCAAUGAUUGUAUGGAAUUUGCAUAGUGUUAUUCAUCAAAGUAUACAUUUCUUAUUUUAGGUCUAAUAAGAAUUCUAAAACGUAUCCCUGAUAGCUCUGUAUAUUCACUGUUUUUUUGUUUUUGUUUUUCUGCCUAAACACAAAUCAGUUGGAAUUCCUAAGCAUACACUCUUCAGUGAAUAACCCUUCGGGUAAUAACGUCAGACAUAAGUGGCAUUCUUCUUGGUUGUGCUAAGAUUCUGACACUUAUCAUCCUCAGCCUUGUCAGAAAGGCUGGUAGGAGUUAUGUGUGUUACUUGAAGUCCUGCUACCAUUAAAAGACCUUUGUGAGUACCUUCCCUAACGUUUACACUGGGAUAUACAAAACCCCCCAACAUUGCAGAAUGAAGGGAUAUUUGUCUAGACUUGUGAAGUCUUGAAAAUAAAUGAAAUAUUAAAUUUAUACAUGUGCAUGGUUGGCCUAUGGACCACACCUCGAGUAAUUUACUGCUAUUUAAUUAGUGGAAGCAUUCUGAAUGAGCAGUCCCUUAUAUUUAGCAUUAAUAAAAUCUAAGUUUAUUAGAACAAAGCAAAGCUGAGCUGGUUUUAUCCACUAAUCUGGGAAUUGUAAUAGAUUGACUAGGGGAUUUGAAAGGUGCCAAACUGCAGAAAAUGCUAGCUUAGAAAAUGUUUACAAUUCAGCUACUUUGGCCUAAACUUUGCAGUUCCCUUGGCCCGUGACCACAGUUUCCUAUUUGAUGAAUGAACCUCAGUGUUGUGCUGCUUGACAGAAGAAGGCAGUAAGGUUUUUGUGUGUUUUGCAGUGUAUAUAGCUGUAUUGUAUUGUGUUAUUACCUGAACAUUUGGCCACAUGCAAAAAACAUCUUUCAUUUUUAAUAGUACAUUUUUAGUAACUGUCACAGCAGUUCUUAAUUAUGUGAUUCAGAUAAAACUAAAAUAUUAAUAUUUUAUUCCACUUACUAAUGGCAAUCACUGUAGAAGGUGGGCUAUUAUUAUUUUUUCAUGUGAAGUAAAUAUGUGCAUUUAAUUUUUUUCCCAGCUUGUUCCUUAUUUGUAAAUAGUUCAUAUUUCCUUGUCGUGUGUGGUUGUGUUUUUUAUUUUGUUAAUCUCUUUUGGACCAAGUGUAUGCUGCAUUUUGAAUGUUAGCAAAUGUUAUUCAUCUCCGGGAAACCGUGAUGCAAAUAGUGACUUUACAGACUAAAAUAUAUUUAUUGUUUUAGGUUGUAUCAAUGUUUGCACGUUGAUAUGUUUUAUCCUUUUGGUAUACAUCCAAUGUCACGCUGCCUGAAUGAACUUGGCAUGUUAGGAAAACUGUCUAUAUUCUCCAAAUAUAGAUGCAUUUCCUAAAUGGGGGUUUUGUAUAGAUCAAUUAGGGUCCUACGCAGGGUCUUAUCAUUGGACAAGAGGAAAUUUAUAAAAUCAUUAUGAAUGGUAAAAGUGGGAUGGUCAACAUAGGAUUGAAUGGUAUCAGCAACUACAUAAAUUCCAUGGGUGAUUGCUUCACUUUUCUGAUCACCACUAUAUUCUCUUUUUAUAGGUGGAAUUUAGAGUAUUAGGAUCUUGUAUUGAUAAGGUCCUCUAAGCAGCUGGGGAGUUAAUGUUGCCAUGCAGUGCUCGGAUAUCUCUUCUUCUUAGCACAGUGCAUAAAUUAUGGUGAGAUAAUAGAGGUAAGUCACAACAUAAAUUGAUAUCUGAUGUUCCACACUGUACAAGGUUUGACAAGUUUUGAAACUUUAGAGGCCAAAAUCUAGAGCUUCUUAUAAUGGAAAUGAGCCAGGAGAAAGAUUAUCAUAUGCUUUUUUUGAUGUUGCUUGAUGAGGAGGGAAUCAUUCAGAUGACCGAAUAAGGCUCCAUCAAUUUUAAGAGUAAAAUAAGGUGUUUGGAAUAGCUAGACACUCUGUUCCCUUCCUGUAUAGAGGUGUAUAUGAUGCUGUAAUGGAUGGUGGGAAAGUCUAAGGAUGUGUGCAUAACCUAGGCCGUGGGGUGAGGAGUUCCCCUGGUCCUGCUUCGAUUUACAUCUUAUUUACUGCCACACACUGCAAGUAUAACAGCCACUAUAUCCCAACCACUUCAAGCAAACACAAAGCACCAUCUGACCCACACACUUACUUGUUAGAAUGCCUUCAAUUUAUAGGUGGCUGCUUAACAGAAAGUUGGUGCCUCAGGUAAACAGUCAAUGAAACCAUGAAUGGAGCUAUCUAUUAGGCAGUGUAAUCACAGCCACACUGCAUAUCGGCACACCUCAGGCAACCGUUUCACUCAUGGUUUUUCUCAUGAGCUGUUGAGUGCAAAACUGCAUAUCCUCCUAACUGCAAAAAGGAAACCCUUCAUUGUGAGAAGGGUGGUCUUACAAAUAAAAACAAUAAAAUAAAAAAAUGGCUGAGUUUAACAUUAAAGGAUCACUCUGAACUUCAUAACAACUUGUCUCUCACAUGUCAGAGGAAGGGAGAGGUGAGCUGUAGUAAAGUGCAUGUGUGGCUGUCAGCUUGGUAGACCACCCAGUCCAACUCACAAAACCAUGAAUCAAUCUUUAUAUAAAAGGAACACUACCAACCCAUAGCUUGUUGAAGUUGUUAUAGGGAUAAGAGUGUCUGGGCAUUGUCUUACCUUCAGUGUUUAAACUACUUCCAACUAUUUAAUCUCAAAGUUUGUCCCCUGAAUUUUUAGCAUUGCUUCCCCCUAUUUUCAUUCUUCUCUGCCACUGGCUUAUGACGAUGGUUUUUCUCUGUGACCAAUUAUAGGCUGAGAGUGUUGGCUGUGGCACCCUGCCUAACACUGGCUGCCCUUAUAGAGAAGUACUAUUUACUGUUCAUAGUUUUUACAAAAAUUGACAGCAGAUCUAACAAUUUUAAGUCCUAAUAUACAAGCCAUUUGAAUAUAAAGAAUAAUCCAGGCACUCCAGCAUAUUCCAAAAUGUAGGCAAUCUUUAUUGGAACAAGGAACCCAAAAGCAAUGUUUUGACCUCCUUAAGGCCUUUGUAAAGCAAAAGACAAAGGCCUUAAGGGGUCGAAAUGUUGCUUUUUGGUUCCUUGUUCCAAUAAAGAUUGCCUACAUUUUGGAAUAUGCUGGAGUGCCUGGAUUAUUCUUUAUAUUCAAAUGCUUCAAUUGGUCCUUUUUUGGUACUGGGACUUAUCCACUAGAGCAUCCUGAAUUCCAGACGAAGGAUUGAGCGCACCUCCAUCACCUACAUAUGCUUAUAUACGAGCCAGACUUAAAUAUUGCUUUCCACUAUAAACUUCCACUUACAAAUUGAUCUCCACGGCAGCAUGAUCUGUGGCCUAGCCCUAAUGAUUUGUACAAUACUUUUGUAGUAGGUGGGUUCGUUCUAGGAAUGUAUUGGGUUUUCCUAUCUGUUUUUUUAUUUUUCUUAGAGCUGCACAGUUUGAGAAAAAUCAGGAAAGGCUUGUCUGUGCAUGGCCUUUUUGGUUGGUGACGUUUGCUCUUGUAGAAGAAGAUUCGUAUAUUCACAUUUGUAUAGGAGAGAGAGUUGGGGUCACCUCUAAUGAUUUUCCUAUGAAGGUUAGCUUUAUAGUCCACAGAGCAGUGAGUGACUGCGCAGGCCAGCCUAAUAAAAGCUUCAUGUUGAGGAUAUAGAUGCACUGCCCUAAAAAAUUUCAUUUUUUUGCAGAAGUGUUCUUUUACAUAUGGCAUUUUGAGAUAAGGACCAUUGGGCAGCCAUUUAAAUUAGUUCAUGUUAGGGAUCGACCGAUAUUGAUUUUUUAGAGCCGAUACCGAUAUUCCGUUAACUUUCAGGCCGAUAGCCGAUAUAAUUUGCCGAUAUUCUGUACAUUUACCAUUUUGGAAAAUAAAAACUAUUUCUAAAGGUAAAUGCACAAAAUAUACAUGCCACGUGUAGUGGAUACAGUGUGUUUAGACAGGGGAGCUGUAUGUGUUUGUGUAGUGGAUGCAGUGUAUGUUUGUGUAGUGUGUGUAGUGGAUGCAGUGUGUGUUUGUGUAGUGUGUGUGUGUGGAUGCAGUGUGUGUUUGUCUAGUGUGUAGUGGAUGCAGUGUGUAUUUGUCUAGUGUGUAGUGGAUGCAGUGUGUAUUAGUGUAGUGUGUGUAUAUAAUGAAAGCAGAGUGAUUGUGUAGUGUGUGGGUAGUGUGUGUAAAGUGAAUGCAGUAUAUACUAAAUGCAAAGUGUGUGUGUUUAUGUAGUGUAUAUAACGAAUGUAGUGUGUUUAUAUAAUGCAGAGUGUGUGUGUUUGUAUAGUGUGUGUAUAUAUAAUGCAGUGUUUGUGUAGUGUGCAUUAUAUAAACACACUAUGCAAACACACACUGCAUUAAUUAUAUACACACACUAAACACACUGCAUUAUAUACGCACACUACACACACUGCAUUAUACACACUACACAAACACUGCAUUGUAUACACGCACUGCAUUAUACACACACUGCAUUAUAUAUACACACACUGCAUUAUAUACACACCCUACACAAACACUGCAUUGUAUACACACACUACACAAACACUGUAUUGUAUACACACUGCAUUAUAUACACAGUGUGUUUGUGUAGUGUGUGUGUGUGUGUGUGUAUAUAAUGCAGUGUGUAGUGUGUUUGUGUAGUGUGCAUUAUAUAAACACACUACACAAACACUACAUUAUAUACACACACUAUACAAACACACUGCAUUAUAUACACAGUGUGUUUGUGUAGUGUAUGUGUAUAUAAUGGAGUGUGUGUGUGAGGGGGGGCAUUUUUUAUUACAUUUUUUUAUAUAUAUAUAUUUAAUAUUUAUUUUUGUUGUCCCUCCUCCCUGUUUCAUACCUGGCCAGGGAGGGGGAUAUAGCAGUCCCUGGUGGUCCAGUGGUAUUGGCUGAGCUCUGGGGGGGAGCAGGCAUCAAGCGCUUACUCACCUCCCAGCAGCUCCUCCAGCUCCCCAGUACAGCUGGAGGAGCUGCUGGGAGGUGAGUAAGCGCUUGAUGCCCGCUCCCCCCCAAGACCGCCGGGCUUGUAAUGAGCCUGGCGGUCCUAGGAGGUAUUAUCGGCAAUAUCGGUAUCUGAAUUGGCCGAUACCGAUAUUGCCGAAAAUACUGAAUAUCGGCCGAUUUAUAUCGGUAAAACCGAUAAUCGGUCGAUCCCUAGUUCAUGUACGCAAUUUAUGAACAUUCUUAAUCUGCCUGGAUUUACUAUUUAUUUUUUUCCUACGAAUUUGCUCAUUCAUGUGUAAAAUUAAUAGUAUUUUUAAGACCUUUUAUUUUUCUUUGUUUCUCUUUCACAUGAAUUACCUAGUCUGCUGCAGCCAGGAUGUAGUAAACCUGUUUAAAGGGACAGAGCAGAAUACAAUAUGACCUUCAUGUUUAGUUGUUGUUUGACCCAGACUUGGCAUCUUAUUGCAGUGAACACCCUCUCUACUCUACGGAGCCGUUCAAUUCAUGCAGCCAAUCCUAUCCCUUCCAUUUUUUUAUUUUUUUUAUUUUUUUUUAACGGAGAGUGCUGGGAAUAUCCCAUAAAUACAUCCGCCUUACCACUGAUCAGCUGUUUCAUUCUUUAAUAGAUGUGAAUGAAAGUACUGCUCAAAAUACUCCGCUUGCAGCUCAUUGGAAUCUUAGCCUUUCAGAUGGGCGCUUUCUUGAGUACUUAUAAAUAAUAAUAUAAUAUGUAAGACCUGAUCGAUUUUAUAGCUACAAUUUUACAAAUUGUUGCAGUUAUAAGCUACAUGCAGACUGUCUCAGGAUACACAUUGUAUGAGGAGAUCCAGCGUCGGUAAAAUCCCCAUAGAAAAGCAUUGAAGCAUAGUUGUGAUUGCCCUCACUAAAAGUGGCGCAAUCACCAUGCAAAACAGUGGAAUCACCAGGCACUUUGCGUUAGUGACUCCUCCACUUACAUUUUUGCCAAACACUUUGAUACAUUUCCUCCAUUGUGUCAACAGCUGGAGGAAGACCGCCAAGAGAACAGAUUUGUGUUUCCAUGGGUUUUUUCUAGCAUUUCAUAUUCUAUUUGGUAUAUUUUUACGUAAUCUGAUAUUGUUUAAUUUUAACAAGAAUCAUGUACUUCACCCAAAUGUAUAUUCUUCUUGCCAACUCUAUACUUUUUUUUUUUUUUUAAACUGCUAUAAAUACUUUUUUUUAACAUUAAUAUUUGACUUGUGAUGCAUUUUGUUUCUUUUCUUUUUAUGAAUGUUUGUUUAAAAUACUGUUGGAUUCAAUGAAGAAAUAAACUUUUUUAUAUUUCAUUUUUCUUUUUACAUAUAUUUAAGAUAAAUUGCUUCAUCUCUUGUGCUCUUAAGCCACAGUUCCUGGCUUCUGCUCUGGAGUAGUUUGAGAUACUGCUGUGACAAGGUCACCACACCAUUGCAUAAAUGCAGGGGCAAGAAAUGAAGAAAAAUGUUCAUGCAAAGGUUGUUUCAAUCCUAUUAAGCAGCAUACAACUCGCAUUACAGUUUCAUUGUCCUUUUUAGAUGUAUCCAUGCGAGUUUUCUAAAAAAAAAUUUCUGUAUAUAAGUCAUUCAUCAGCUGGAUAUCACCCAUCCUUUUACUUUUCUAAAGAGUCUAAAUUCCAAUUCUUCAUUUUGAGUUGAGUAUCACUUUAUUUGCGAUUGUAUUAACUUGCAUAUAUAUAUAUAUAUUUUUUUUUUCAACAAGACUUAGAACCAAAGCUUUCUUUCAUAUUGAAAACAAUUGCCUACGUGUGACCAUGUCUACAGUACCCUCACCACCUCCCCCGGCUGAGAUGUCAAGUGGGCCUGUAGCUGAAAGCUGGUGUUACACACAGGU